rnacentral:misc_RNA from 1 species
CUAGUAAUUUUAUCCCCAAUAUUCAUUUCAUCUUGAAUUUGAUCAACUGAAUUGCUAAAACUGGAAACAGGGCUAAUGCACUUUGACUCUACCUCAACUGAACCAAGAACAGAGUCAACAUGGACUGUUUGAGCACAGGAUGUUAACACUGUUAAUGGUACUUCAAGAUUUGCCUCAUCAUGGCCAGGUAUGGAAGAAGAAGAUGGAUUUGUUUCACAAGAUUCAAUGUGUCCUUGCUCCAACUCUA